UGCGUAAUAGCUCACUAGUCGAGAGAUCCUGCGCCGAAAAUGUCCGGGGCUAAAACUUACCACCGAAGCUACGGGCUUGCGUAAGCAAGCGGUAGGGGAGCGUCGUAAUCGGGCUGAAGUCGUACCGUAAGGAGCGGUGGACUGAUUACGAGUGAGAAUGUUGGCAUUAGUAGCGAGAUGUAGGUGAGAAUCCUACAGGCCGAAUAUCUAAGGUUUCCUCAGGAAGGCUCGUCCGCUGAGGGUUAGUCGGGACCUAAGCCGAGGCCGAAAGGCGUAGGCGAUGGACAACAGGUUGAUAUUCCUGUACCACUACCAUCGUUAUUAUCGAGGGUGUGACGGAGAAGGAUAGUGUGUGCUAGCGAUUGGAAAUGCUAGUCUAAGCGUUUAGGCAGUUACGGUAGGCAAAUCCGCUGUAAUGUUAAUGCUGAGGCGUGAUGGGGAAGGCCCUUGAGGCUGAAGUACAUGAUUCCAUGCUUCCAAGAAAAGCAUCUAGAGAGAGAAGUAGUGCCCGUACCGCAAACCGACACAGGUAGAUGAGGAGAGAAUCCUAAGGCCGGCGGAAGAAUUGCAGUUAAGGAACUAGGCAAAUUGACCCCGUAAGUUAGCGAGAAGGGGUGCCUACGAGAGUAGGCCGCAGAGAAUAGGCCCAAGCAACUGUUUAGCAAAAACACAGGUCUCUGCUAAAGCGCAAGCUGAUGUAUAGGGGCUGACGCCUGCCCGGUGCUGGAAGGUUAAGGGGAACACUUAGCGCAAGCGAAGGUGUGAACUUAAGCCCCAGUAAACGGCGGCCGUAACUAUAACGGUCCUAAGGUAGCGAAAUUCCUUGUCAGGUAAGUUCUGACCCGCACGAAUGGCGUAAUGACUUGGGCACUGUCUCAACUGCAAAUCCGGCGAAGUUGUAGUGCGAGUGAAGAUGCUCGCUACCCGCGAUUGGACGGAAAGACCCCGUAGAGCUUUACUGUAGCUUAGCAUUGAAUUCCGGUAUUGUCUGUACAGGAUAGGUGGGAGACUGGGAAACUAGGGCGUCAGCCUUAGUGGAGUCAUCCUUGGGAUACCACCCUGACAGUACUGGGGUUCUAACAGGAUGCCAUGAAUCUGGUGACUGGACAUUGUUAGGUGGGCAGUUUGACUGGGGCGGUCGCCUCCUAAAAAGUAACGGAGGCGCCCAAAGGUUCCCUCAGAACGGUCGGAAAUCGUUCGUAGAGUGCAAAGGCAGAAGGGAGCCUGACUGCGAGACCUACAAGUCGAGCAGGGACGAAAGUCGGGCU
rnacentral:rRNA from 1 species